rnacentral:rRNA from 1 species
CAGCCGCGGUAAUACCAGCUCCAAUAGCGUAUAUUUAAGUUGUUGCAGUUAAAAAGCUCGUAGUUGGAUUUCGGGUGGGUUCCAGCGGUCUGCCUCUGGUAUGUACUGCUGUGGCCUACCUUUCUGCCGGGGACGUGUUCCUGGGCUUCAUUGUCCGGGACUCGAAUUCGGCGAGGAUACUUUGAGUAAAACAGCGUGUUCAAAGCAAGCCUACGCUCUGAAUGCAUUAGCAUGGAAUAUCACGAUAGGACUCUGGCCUAUCUUGUUGGUCUGUAGGACCGGAGUAAUGAUUAAGAGGGACAGUCGGGGGCAUUCGUAUUUCAUUGUCAGAGGUGAAAUUCUUGGAUUUAUGAAAGACGAACUUCUGCGAAAGCAUUUGCCAAGGAUGUUUUCAUUAAUCAAGAAUCUUUGAAACUGCAUCGUGAUGGGGCUCGAAGACUGCAAUUAUUAGUCUUCAACGAGGAAUGCCUAGUAAGCGCGAGUCAUCAGCUCGCGUUGAUUACGUCCCUGCC